UAUGGAUUGAAUGGUACUGUCCUGAACUGAAACGAAGAACUUCAAUGGAAAUUGCUUGUUUGUAAUUCAUAUAGUGCAUCAAUGAUCUGCCUAGCUUGUUUUCAUUUCCAGGUUUUCCCAACAAGUUUGUUGUAAUGCCUUAUUUAAGCCAUUUUUAGUUCAGUACUAAACAAAUUGGCCCGGGGAGACGAUCAUUGUGUCCUGGAAGAAGCUGGUCAAGGAGGCAGACCCGGGAACCGCCCUCUUUGCACGCCCCAGCGAUACAGCCCAUCGUCGCCCCCCUCGCGGGGCCCUCUGGUGUUGCGAUGCAGGAAAAACUGCUCACCAGGAGCUUGAUGGUUUGAAUUUCAUGGAGGAUACUACUGUAGCUCUUACUAAUUUGCUGGCAUCUGCACUAGCAGAAAUCAAGUGUGUGGCCAGCAUAGUUUUUUCAUCAUUCAAUCCUCCACCGAGUUAUAGGAGGUACAUCCAACAGAAAAUGACCCAAAUGAUC